GACGAACGCUGGCGGCGUGCUUAACACAUGCAAGUCGAACGGAAAGGCCUGCUUUCCCUUGUGGAUUGCGGGUGCUCGAGUGGCGAACGGGUGAGUAACACGUGAGUGAUCUGCCCCCAACUUGGGUAUAAGCCUGGGAAACUGGGUCUAAUUCCCGAUAGGACUGCAGGGUGGUGCCUGUGGUGGAAAACGAUUUUCUAGUGGUUGGGGAUGAGCUCGCGGCCUAUCAGCUUGUUGGUGGGGUAAUGGCCUACCAAGGCGGCGACGGGUAGCCGGCCUGGGAGGGUGGACGGCCACAUUGGGACUGAGAUACGGCCCAGACUCCUACGGGAGGCAGCAGUGGGGAAUAUUGCACAAUGGGCGGAAGCCUAAUGCAGCGACGCCGCGUGGGGGAUGACGGCCUUCGGGUUGUAAACUCCUUUCGACCGCGAGGAAGCCACCUGGUUGGAAGGGUGGUGACGGUAGUGGUAGAAGAAGCACCGGCUAACUACGUG
rnacentral:rRNA from 1 species